AUUGAACGCUGGCGGCAUGCCUUACACAUGCAAGUCGAACGGCAGCACGGGGGCAACCCUGGUGGCGAGUGGCGAACGGGUGAGUAAUACAUCGGAACGUGCCCGAUAGUGGGGGAUAGCUCGGCGAAAGCCGGAUUAAUACCGCAUACGACCUACGGGUGAAAGCGGGGGAUCGCAAGACCUCGCGCUAUCAGAGCGGCCGAUGUCAGAUUAGGUUGUUGGUGGGGAAAGGCCUACCAAGCCGACGAUCUGUAGCUGGUCUGAGAGGACGACCAGCCACACUGGGACUGAGACACGGCCCAGACUCCUACGGGAGGCAGCAGUGGGGAAUUUUGGACAAUGGGCGAAAGCCUGAUCCAGCCAUGCCGCGUGCGGGAAGAAGGCCU
rnacentral:rRNA from 1 species